rnacentral:rRNA from 1 species
UACGAAGGGGGCUAGCGUUGCUCGGAAUCACUGGGCGUAAAGGGUGCGUAGGCGGGUUUUUAAGUCAGAGGUGAAAUCCUGGAGCUCAACUCCAGAACUGCCUUUGAUACUGAGGAUCUUGAGUUCGGGAGAGGUGAGUGGAACUGCGAGUGUAGAGGUGAAAUUCGUAGAUAUUCGCAAGAACACCAGUGGCGAAGGUGGCUCACUGGCCCGAUACUGACGCUGAGGCACGAAAGCGUGGGGAGCAAACAGG